GGGCCCGCACAAGCGGUGGAUGAUGUGGAUUAAUUCGAUGCAACGCGAAAAACCUUACCUACCCUUGACAUGCCAGGAACCUUGCUGAGAGGUGAGGGUGCCCGAAAGGGAGCCUGGACACAGGUGCUGCAUGGCUGUCGUCAGCUCGUGUCGUGAGAUGUUGGGUUAAGUCCCGCAACGAGCGCAACCCUUGCCAUUAGUUGCGACAUUAAGUUGAGCACUCUAAUGGGACUGCCGGUGACAAACCGGAGGAAGGUGGGGAUGACGUCAAGUCCUCAUGGCCCUUAUGGGUAGGGCUUCACACGUCAUACAAUGGUCGGUACAGAGGGUUGCCAACCCGCGAGGGGGAGCCAAUCCCAGAAAGCCGGUCGUAGUCCGGAUUGUUCUCUGCAACUCGAGAGCAUGAAGUCGGAAUCGCUAGUAAUCGCGGAUCAGCAUGUCGCGGUGAAUACGUUCCCGGGCCUU
rnacentral:rRNA from 1 species